rnacentral:rRNA from 1 species
UACAGAGGGUGCAAGCGUUAAUCGGAAUUACUGGGCGUAAAGCGCAUGUAGGUGGUUUGAUAAGUUUGAUGUGAAAUCCCUGGGCUUAACCUGGGAAUGGCGUUGAAGACUGUUAGACUUGAGUUUGACAGAGGGUCGUGGAAUUUCCGGUGUAGCGGUGAAAUGCGUAGAGAUCGGAAAGAACACCAACGGCGAAAGCACUCUGCUGGGCCGACACUGACACUGAGAAGACGAAAGCUAGGGGAGCGAAUGGG